rnacentral:rRNA from 1 species
UUAAAUUGAAGAGUUUGAUCAUGGCUCAGAUUGAACGCUGGCGGCAGGCCUAACACAUGCAAGUCGAACGGUAACAGGAAGCAGCUUGCUGCUUUGCUGACGAGUGGCGGACGGGUGAGUAAUGUCUGGGAAACUGCCUGAUGGAGGGGGAUAACUACUGGAAACGGUAGCU